rnacentral:rRNA from 1 species
CAUUAGGUGAUUAUUAUUAUUUUUUUUUAUUCAUUAUUUAUCUCAAGUAAUUUUUGUUUUAUUAUUUCUGAAUUAAUAAUUUUUAUUAUAGAGCAAUAAGUACCGAGAGGGAAUUAAUUUCAUGUCUUUAAAGGAGUUUUAAUUUAGUGUACCUUGUGUAUCAGGGUUUAUUAAUUAUGGCUUAAUUAUUUAAUUUUCUCGAAUUUAGAAGGGCUAUUAGUUUAUUUAUUUUAUUGUAUUAUAAAUAUUUAAAAUAAAUUGAUAGAAGUAAAAUGCUAUUCGAUUCUAAUUUAUCUAGUUGUCUAAGAAACAAAUUUAAUUUGGUUUUUAUAUUAUUAAGAUUUUUAUUUGUAAAUGUUUUAGUAAGUAAGAUUAUAUAUUUAAAGGGAUGAGCUUUUAAUUAAAUCUAUAAAAUUUUUUUUUUAUUCUAUGAUUAUUGGAUUAAUAGUUUCUUUUUAGUGUGUUAUAACUAGUCAGGAUUUUUUUUAUUUUUAUUUUUAUUUAUGUUUUUUAUUAGAUUAAAGUUUACAAUCUUUCUUAUUUUGGCAUAAUGAUGGAAUUAGUAAAAAUUUUUAUUUGUUUAAGUUUUUAGGUCUAGACAAGAAAAAGGAACUCGGCAAAUAUUUCUUCUACCUGUUUAUUAAAAACAUGUCCUUUUGGGGUUUAUUUAAGGUUUGGCCUGCCCAAUGAGAAACUUAAAUGGCCGCGGUAAUUUGACCGUGCAAAGGUAGCAUAAUCAUUAGUUUUUUAAUUGAAAGCUGGGAUGAAGGGUUGGAUAAGAAGGAUUCUGUCUCUUUGUUGAUUUUUGAAUUUUAUUUUUUAGUAAGAAAGCUUGGAUGUUUGAUGAAGACGAGAAGACCCUAUAGAGUUUCAGAUUUUAAUUUCUUUUUUAUUAUUAGAAUUUUUGGCUUUGAGGAUUUAAUAUUUUUUGUUGGGGUGAUUAAAAAAUUUAUUUAACUUUUUUUUUACUUUAACACUCAUUUGUGUAUUUUUGAUCUUUUAUUAAGGAUUAUAAGAAUAAAUUACCUUAGGGAUAACAGCGUAAUUUUUUUUGAGAGUUCUUAUCGAUAAAGAAGUUUGCGACCUCGAUGUUGGAUUAAAGUUUUACUUUGGUGUAGGGGCUAAAGUUAUGGGUCUGUUCGACCUUUGAAACUUUACAUGAUCUGAGUUUAAACCGGUGUGAGCCAGGUUGGUUUCUAUCUCUUUAAUAUUUUAAUUUUUUAGUACGAAAGGACCAAAGGUUAGUUUAAUAAGUUUAUUUUAGAAUAAUAUU